GACGAACGCUGGCGGCGUGCUUAACACAUGCAAGUCGAACGGCAAGGCCCUGCUUUUGUGGGGUGCCCGAGUGGCGAACGGGUGAGUAACACGUGAGUAACCUGCUCUUGACUUUGGGAUAACUUCAGGAAACUGGGGCUAAUACCGGAUAGGAGCUCCUGUUGCAUGGUGGGGGUUGGAAAGUUUCGGCGGGUGGGGAUGGACUCGCGGCUUAUCAGCUUGUUGGUGGGGUAGUGGCUUACCAAGGCUUUGACGGGUAGCCGGCCUGAGAGGGUGGACGGCCACAAGAGGACUAAGAUACGGCGCAGACUCCUACGGGAGGCAGCAGUGGGGAGUAUGACACAAUGGGCGGAAGCCUGAUGCAGCAACGCCGCGUUCGGAAUGACGGCCUGCGGGUUGAAAACCGCUUUCGCCUGUGACGAAGCGUGAGUGACGGUAAUGGAUAAAGAAGCACCGGCUAACUACGUG
rnacentral:rRNA from 1 species